UGAUUGCAGUGAUAUGAAUCGAGUAAGCUGUUGUAGUAUGGUAGUGAUAAUGGUCAAGAUUGAAGAAAGCCAGACCGAGUUGUAAGAGAACGCGUGUUGAUCGCGAUGAAUGGCAUGAUGUUGAUGACCGCAGACUGGAGGACUGAGCCAACUGAACUGAACUGCGUGUUGGAUAUUAUUUGAACAUCAGAUUAUUCUAUUCAAACGUCAAAAUGGAAAUAAUUCAGUGCGUGGCUAGAUGGUCAACAGAUGUAAAUCGUUGCCUGCAAUAGUGCACGUGUCCUGUUGUUCUAUCGGAUCUAUACAGUUGGUUCGGUACAUGUAUGGUCCAAGAGUAUGAGACAGAGGUCUCGAAAUUUCGGACAUGGGGCGAGUGACCACUGCUAGCGAGCUUUGUGACCAAUGACGUGGCCAGGGUUGCCAGCCAUUAUUACAGUGAGUGAAAGCAGAAAGGAUAGUCCAGGUGCUGAAGCCUCUUGAGGAGCUUGGCAGCGAUGAAGACUGAACACGUUCACAAGUUUCACCACGAGUGGAUCGCGCCCAUCAGAAUCUCUGGUCUGUACUGUCACCCGGUCGAGCAUUGCCUCUCAAACAUAUUGCCGGUAAUGGCUGGUCCCGUCCUGCUCGGCUCUCACUGUAUGCUGCUGCUGCUGCUGUGGGCCUGUAUCUCGCUGGCCUCCGUGUUCGUCGCACACUGCGGCUUCCACCUGCCGUUCAUGCCGUCCAACGAGUACCACGACUACCAUCAUGCAAAUUUGGUGUGUCUGCCAUUCGAUGAUGCCGAGACCUCUGGUCAGUUGUGCAUGGCAGGCCCUACCAGCACCAUCUCACUGCUGACUCCAUGCUAGCCCCAUGUGCCUGCCGGUGAGUUUGUGUACCUCGUACAGUGCGUAUCGGUUAUAGCGUGGUCAUGUAAAAGAAUAUACUACCUACAAGAAUGAACUCUCAUGUUUUCAUAAUCAUAACAUGGGUUUCAAGUGCACAUUUAUUCUUACAAGCAAUUUUAUCGGACAGCCGAAUAUAUCGGUCCUAAAAAUGGACUUUGCGUAGCAAAACACACCAGAUUAGUACAAAGUAUAUCGCCUGUAGUAAUAACAUCUGUCCAAUGCAGUUCUCAUCCGACUAGCGUUGGGUCGUAGACUACGUAGUGCUGCAAGUUCAACUGUUGUGGUCAUGUAACUCAUGUUGCAUAGCCACAAUGGUAAGGCUAUGAGGCUAUGGGACUAUGACCAGCCGCAUGCACAAUAGCACUACAUUGCAUGUAGGAUGAUCUUCCUGACUCUGCGCACAUGCACAUGAUAUGUCACACUUGAUUUUCAAUAUCGUGUGUAAUAAAAUUUAUUACACACUUGAAAAUAUUUAAUAUCGGAUAUAAAAAUAGAAAGUCGUUUUUCAAACACCCACGCUAUAACCGAUACCUACUGUGUAAUUAUAAAAACUGACAUUAUUUUUUUGUUUAUGUUGGCUGCUGCUUUGCAGGAAUCUUUGAUUUUCUGUAUGGCACGGACAGUCGCUUCCGUAAAUCAAAGUCGUACGAGCGCCAUUCCAUGCUACUUGGCACCACCCCAGCCAACGUUCUGAUUCCGGACGAACCGAAGAAAUGCCAGUAAAAAGGUCAAGUUGGCAGUGCAUGUGCGUGUGUGCACCCUCACUGCUGUUGCUAGUCUCCUCAGAGUCCACCCUUGACCGUCCCAUUCUCCAGUUUGAAUGCUAGUCUCCUCACAGUCCACCCUUGACCGUCCCAUUCUCCAGUUUCAAUGCUAGUAUCAUCACUACUCUACAUGUAUAUGUAUUUUAGCAUAUCCGCCAUCAAUGCUGGUCACAUGGACAAAUUACACUUAGCUACCGUCACUACUUCAGGUAUGCCUUUGAUAUUAAUAUUUUUACUCACAUAGCUAUGGGUUUUUUUGUGGCAAAUUCACUAGUGCCCUAGCUCGGCCCAAUCUGUGUUCUAUCAUAGGUGGUUAAAUAACGACAUCACAUUGUUCAAUCUUCCAGUCCUAUCAGUGACAACUCUCAUAGCCAAUGUGCAUUGUUUCCGACGACCAUCACCAAGAAUUUAUGUUCUCUUUCUCACCUAGGGCCGUUCACAAUUUGUUUUCCAUUUCAAUUUCCGCAUUUCCACCAUCCUGGAAGCAUGGAGAGGGACAGUACCGGUAUUAUGAA